GACGAACGCUGGCGGCGUGCUUAACACAUGCAAGUCGAACGGAAAGGCCCUGCUUUUGUUGUGUGCUCGAGGUGCUGACGGGUGAGUAACACGUGUGUCACCUGCCUUUGACUUUGGGAUCACGUCAGUAAACUGGGGCUAAUACCGGUUAGUCGCUCCUGCUGCAUGGUGGGGUUCGGAUGGUUUCGGCGGUUGGGGUUGUACUCGCGGCUUAUCAGCCUGGUGGUGGGGUAGUGGCUUGCCAAGUCUUCUACGGGUAGCCGGCCUGAGAGGGUGACCGGCCACAUUGGGACUGAGAUACGGGCCAGACUCAUACGGGAGGCAGGAGUGGGGAAUAGUACACAAUGGGCGGAAGGCUGAUGCAGCAACGACGCGCGCGGGAUGACGGCCUCCGGGUUGUAAAGCGGAAGCGCCUGGGACGAAGCGGGAGUGACGGUAAUGGGUAAAGAAGCACCGGCUAACUACGUG
rnacentral:rRNA from 1 species